rnacentral:rRNA from 1 species
AACGAACGCUGGCGGCAUGCCUAACACAUGCAAGUCGAACGAGACCUUCGGGUCUAGUGGCGCACGGGUGCGUAACGCGUGGGAACCUGCCCUUAGGUUCGGAAUAACUCCCCGAAAGGGGUGCUAAUACCGGAUAAUGUCUUCGGACCAACGAUUUAUCGCCUUUGGAUGGGGCCGCGUGGGAUUAGCUAGUUGGUAGGGUAAAAGCCUACCAAGGCGACGAUCCAUGGCUGGUCUGAGAGGAUGAUCAGCCACACUGGGACUGAGACACGGCCCAGACUCCUACGGGAGGCAGCAGUGGGGAAUAUUGGACAAUGGGCGAAAGCCUGAUCCAGCAAUGCCGCGUGAGUGAUGAAGGCCUGAGGGUUGUAAAGCUCUUUUACCCGGGAUGAUAAUGACAGUACCGGGAGAAUAAGCUCCGGCUAACUCCGUG